GACGAACGCUGGCGGCGUGCUUAACACAUGCAAGUCGAACGGAAAGGCCCUGCUUGCAGGGUACUCGAGUGGCGAACGGGUGAGUAACACGUGGGUGAACCGCCCUGCACUUUGGGAUAAGCCUGGGAAAAUGGGUCUAAUACCGGAUAGGAGCCAUUUUUAGUGUGAUGGUUGGAAAGUUUUUUCGGUGUAGGAUGAGGGCGCGGCCUAUCAGCUUGUUGGUGGGGUAAUGGCGUACCAAGGCGGCGACGGGUAGCCGGCCUGAGAGGGUGGACGGCCACAUUGGGACUGAGAGACGGCCCAGACUCCGACGGGAGGCAGCAGGGGGGAAUAUUGCACAAUGGGCGCAAGCCUGAUGCAGCGGCGCCGCGUGGGGGAUGACGGCCUUCGGGUUGUAAACUCCUUUCGCUAGGAACGAAGCUUUUUGUGACGGUACCUAGAGAAGAAGCACCGGCUAACUACGUG
rnacentral:rRNA from 1 species